UGAGAUAGAGGUCGCGCGGAACAUCAGUAUCUGCCCGGACGUGCCGGACACGGGGGAUGGCCAGAGAAAGGGAACUGCGCCGAAGGGACUAUUGCCGGAAAAUAUUCCCUGGGCUCGUGGUCGAACAGAUCCCUGACUGUCAUCGGAAGAUGGAGCGCUAUCCU
rnacentral:ncRNA from 1 species